rnacentral:rRNA from 1 species
AGAGUUUGAUCCUGGCUCAGGAUGAACGCUGGCGGCGUGCUUAACACAUGCAAGUCGAACGGGGGUUACUUCGUUGAGAUCUUCGGAUCAAAGCGAAAUAACUCGAGUGGCGGACGGGUGAGUAACACGUGAGUAACCUGCCUUUUGCUGGGGAAUAACUGUGGGAAACCAUGGCUAAUACCGCAUGUUGUGCAUGACAGGCAUCUGUUGUGUAUGAAAGGAGAAAUCCGGCAGAAGAUGGGCUCGCGUCCGAUUAGGUAGUUGGUGGGGUAACGGCCUACCAAGCCCGCGAUCGGUAGCCGGACUGAGAGGUCGAACGGCCACAUUGGGACUGAGACACGGCCCAGACUCCUACGGGAGGCAGCAGUGGGGAAUCUUCCGCAAUGGGCGAAAGCCUGACGGAGCAAUGCCGCGUGAAUGAAGAAGGCCUUCGGGUUGUAAAGUUCUGUUGAAAAGGAAGAAAGUGAAAUAGGCUAAUACCCUAUAUUAUUGACGGUACUUUUUGAGGAAGCCCCGGCUAACUACGUGCCAGCAGCCGCGGUAAUACGUAGGGGGCAAGCGUUGUCCGGAAUCACUGGGCGUAAAGCGCAUGCAGGCGGGAUAUUAAGUCAGGUGUGAAAACUAUGGGCUCAACCUGUAGACUGCAUCUGAAACUGGUAUUCUUGAGUAUUGGAGAGGAAAGUGGAAUUCCUAGUGUAGCGGUGAAAUGCGUAGAUAUUAGGAGGAACACCAAUGGCGAAGGCGACUUUCUGGCCAAAAACUGACGCUCAGAUGCGAAAGCGUGGGGAGCAAACGGGAUUAGAUACCCUGGUAGUCCACGCCGUAAACGAUGGGUAGUAGGUGUUGGGUGUCAAAGCUCAGUGCCGCAGUUAACACAAUAAGUACCCCGCCUGGGGAGUACGUUCGCAAGAAUGAAACUCAAAGGAAUAGACGGGGACCCGCACAAGCGGUGGAGCAUGUGGUUUAAUUUGACGCAACGCGAAGAACCUUACCAAGGCUUGACAUCCCUCGACGGUCUAAGAGAUUAGAUUUUCUUUUCUGAGACAAGGAGACAGGUGGUGCACGGUUGUCGUCAGCUCGUGUCGUGAGAUGUUGGGUUAAGUCCCGCAACGAGCGCAACCCCUACAGUUAGUUGCCAUCAUUAAGUUGGGCACUCUAGCAGGACUGCCGGUGACAAACCGGAGGAAGGUGGGGAGGACGUCAAAUCAUCAUGCCCCCUAUGUCUUGGGCUACACACGUGCUACAAUGGGCAGUACAGAGGGCAGCGAAGCCGCGAGGUGAAGCGAAUCUCAAAAAGCUGUUCCCAGUUCGGAUUGCAGGCUGCAACUCGCCUGCAUGAAGCAGGAAUCGCUAGUAAUCGCAGGUCAGCAUACUGCGGUGAAUACGUUCCCGGGUCUUGUACACACCGCCCGUCA